UAGGUCAGAACUGUAUCGAGGCGUUCUGCCUCACUGCUGAAAGGAGCCUACAGUUCCCCAUGGCGUGAACAGAUAUUAUGGGCCAGAUUCAUGCUAGGGCUUGGUGCAGGGAGUGAAGGGAUGCAGCUUGCAUGGCACCCCCACUGUACCUCUGCUGCUGCAAUUUGACCCCCCUGUGCAGAUGGGAGAAUUGGAUGGUAGAAGAGAAGAGAGAGGGAACCCAAAUGGAAGAUUUUGAAGUUCUCCAUCUGUGAGUUGUCACCAUAGAACCCUGAUUCUCCAGUUUAUCUAGAAUGAAGAUUUUCAAAAACGCUCAGCGUUGGACUCAGGAACUUGG